AUGGUUGAAACAGAGAAAAAUUUGGUCUUUCCAUUGGUUUACAAGCUCAUUGAGGUAGCUUUGCUACUGCCGGUGUCCACAACAUCUGUUGAGAGAGCUUUCUCGGCAAUGAAAAUUAUCAAGUCUAAACUGCGCAGCACGAUCAAUGAUGAUUGGUUUAAUCACUUGAUGAUAUGCUACACUGAACGUGAAAUAUUUAAAUCACUCGAUGAUGAAGUUAUCACUCGAAGGUUUUAGGCCAUGAAGGCUCGAAAAGGGAUUUUACCGAGGCAUCAUUAG
rnacentral:rRNA from 1 species